AGAGUUUGAUUCUGGCUCAGGACGAACGCUGGCGGCGUGCUUAACACAUGCAAGUCGAACGAUGAAGCCUAGCUUGCUAGGUGGAUUAGUGGCGAACGGGUGAGUAAUACGUGAGUAACCUACCUUUAACUCUGGGAUAAGCCUGGGAAACUGGGUCUAAUACCGGAUACGACCAAUCUCCGCAUGGGGUGUUGGUGGAAAGCGUUAUGUAGUGGUUAUAGAUGGGCUCACGGCCUAUCAGCUUGUUGGUGAGGUAACGGCUCACCAAGGCGACGACGGGUAGCCGGCCUGAGAGGGUGACCGGCCACACUGGGACUGAGACACGGCCCAGACUCCUACGGGAGGCAGCAGUGGGGAAUAUUGCACAAUGGGCGCAAGCCUGAUGCAGCGACGCCGCGUGCGGGAUGACGGCCUUCGGGUUGUAAACCUCUGUUAGCAGGGAAGAAGAGAGAUUGACGGUACCUGCAGAGAAAGCGCCGGCUAACUACGUGCCAGCAGCCGCGGUAAUACGUAGGGCGCGAGCGUUGUCCGGAAUUAUUGGGCGUAAAGAGCUUGUAGGCGGUUUGUCGCGUCUGCUGUGAAAGGCCGGGGCUUAACUCCGUGUAUUGCAGUGGGUACGGGCAGACUAGAGUGCAGUAGGGGAGACUGGAAUUCCUGGUGUAGCGGUGGAAUGCGCAGAUAUCAGGAGGAACACCGAUGGCGAAGGCAGGUCUCUGGGCUGUAACUGACGCUGAGAAGCGAAAGCAUGGGGAGCGAACAGGAUUAGAUACCCUGGUAGUCCAUGCCGUAAACGUUGGGCACUAGGUGUGGGGGACAUUCCACGUUUUCCGCGCCGUAGCUAACGCAUUAAGUGCCCCGCCUGGGGAGUACGGCCGCAAGGCUAAAACUCAAAGAAAUUGACGGGGGCC
rnacentral:rRNA from 1 species